UGAUCUUUUACUGAGUGUUUUAAAACUAAUUCUUCCUUUUUAGUCAGAAUAAGAGGAUCAGAAGAUGAUAACGAUGUUUUAGGUUGGGGUUUGGUUGGUUUUGAAACUAAUUCUUCCUUUUUAGUCGGAAUAAGAGGAUCAGGUUGGGGUUUGGUUACUUGUUGGAGUUGGGGCUUCAGUUUAGAGCUUUUGGGAGCAAAACGUGAUGGCUUAGUCGGAGCUUUACUUGCGCCGUCGAAGUCCACCGCCAUGUACUCUGCCGGAAAAGUGAACUUCACCGCAAGUACGGCAAGUAAUCAAAGGUGAGGGAAGGGUUUAGGGUUUAUUAAUUGGAGCUAACUCAUUUGUAAAUUAUUUUUGGAAUGUCAAAUAUUUAUUUUAUGGAUUUAUAUUAUAUAUACAAAAUUUGUUACAUUAUCAAACUACUUACAGCU
rnacentral:lncRNA from 1 species